AUGGCAGGUUCCGGAGUUGUUAGUUCUUGGGCUUCAUCGAUCAUGGGAGAUUUGCCAUCACCUAAGAAAAUACAACAACCGUCACAAGAGGAGCAACAACAUCAGAAUGCACAUGAGGUUAAUGUUUCCAUGCCACAAUUUACUGGUCGUUUUAGGCCUGAUUUAUAUAUUGAAUGGGAGUACGAAAUGAAUGCUAUAUUUGCUUCCUACACUUUUGAUGAGCAUGAAAAAUUUCAAGUUGCGGUUAAUACUUUUAGUAGCUUCACUUUAGUUUGGUGGAGUGAAUACUGUCGGUUAAACCAUGAUUAUAUACCUGCGGCUUGGGAUGGUUUAAAACAUGUCAUGAGAGAUAGAUUCAUCGAUGUUUAUUAUACUUAUGGCAUGAUUAAAAAAUUAGAACAUUUAAAACAAGGUAGUGACACUGUAACAAAAUAUUAUGACGAUUUACAAACUACCUUGUUGCACUCGUUUUUAGAAGAAAGUGAAGAAGAUUUUAUGGAUAGAUUUUGGGGAGGAUUAAACCAUGAUAUUCAGGAGAUACUAAUUCAUGAAGAGUGUUAUCCUAUGGACCAUUUGUUUCGUCUUGCUUGUAAAGCUGAAUAG
rnacentral:rRNA from 1 species